UACGUAGGUGCGAGCGUUGUCCGGAUUUACUGGGCGUAAAGAGCGCGCAGGCGGUCGAUCAAGUCGAGUGUGAAAGCCCCCCGGCUCAACUGGGGAGGGUCACGCGAUACUGAUCGACUCGAAGGCAGGAGAGGGUAGUGGAAUUCCCGGUGUAGUGGUGAAAUGCGUAGAUAUCUGGGAGGAACAUCAGUGGCGAAGGCGACACCCUGGACUCAUACUGACACUGAGGUGCGAAAGCGUGGGGAG
rnacentral:rRNA from 1 species